GUUGGGUAGGGGAGCGUUCUGUAAGCCUGUGAAGGUGUGUCGUGAGGCAUGCUGGAGGUAUCAGAAGUGCGAAUGCUGACAUAAGUAACGAUAAAGCGGGUGAAAAGCCCGCUCGCCGGAAGACCAAGGGUUCCUGUCCAACGUUAAUCGGGGCAGGGUGAGUCGACCCCUAAGGCGAGGCCGAAAGGCGUAGUCGAUGGGAAACGGGUUAAUAUUCCCGUACUUGGUGUUACUGCGAAGGGGGGACGGAGAAGGCUAUGUUGGCCGGGCGACGGUUGUCCCGGUUUAAGCGUGUAGGUGUGUGUUCCAGGUAAAUCCGGUUCACUUUAACACUGAGGCGUGACGACGAGGCACUACGGUGCUGAAGCAACAAAUGCCCUGCUUCCAGGAAAAGCCUCUAAGCAUCAGGUAACACGAAAUCGUACCCCAAACCGACACAGGUGGUCAGGUAGAGAAUACCAAGGCGCUUGAGAGAACUCGGGUGAAGGAACUAGGCAAAAUGGUGCCGUAACUUCGGGAGAAGGCACGCUGACACGUAGGUGAAGUGAUUUACUCAUGGAGCUGAAGUCAGUCGAAGAUACCAGCUGGCUGCAACUGUUUAUUAAAAACACAGCACUGUGCAAACACGAAAGUGGACGUAUACGGUGUGACGCCUGCCCGGUGCCGGAAGGUUAAUUGAUGGGGUCAGCGCAAGCGAAGCUCCUGAUCGAAGCCCCGGUAAACGGCGGCCGUAACUAUAACGGUCCUAAGGUAGCGAAAUUCCUUGUCGGGUAAGUUCCGACCUGCACGAAUGGCGUAAUGAUGGCCAGGCUGUCUCCACCCGAGACUCAGUGAAAUUGAACUCGCUGUGAAGAUGCAGUGUACCCGCGGCAAGACGGAAAGACCCCGUGAACCUUUACUAUAGCUUGACACUGAACAUUGAGCCUUGAUGUGUAGGAUAGGUGGGAGGCUUUGAAGUGUGGACGCCAGUCUGCAUGGAGCCGACCUUGAAAUACCACCCUUUAAUGUUUGAUGUUCUAACGUGGACCCGUAAUCCGGGUUGCGGACAGUGUCUGGUGGGUAGUUUGACUGGGGCGGUCUCCUCCUAAAGAGUAACGGAGGAGCACGAAGGUUGGCUAAUCCUGGUCGGACAUCAGGAGGUUAGUGCAAUGGCAUAAGCCAGCUUGACUGCGAGCGUGACGGCGCGAGCAGGUGCGAAAGCAGGUCAUAGUGAUCCGGUGGUUCUGAAUGGAAGGGCCAUCGCUCAACGGAUAAAAGGUACUCCGGGGAUAACAGGCUGAUACCGCCCAAGAGUUCAUAUCGACGGCGGUGUUUGGCACCUCGAUGUCGGCUCAUCACAUCCUGGGGCUGAAGUAGGUCCCAAGGGUAUGGCUGUUCGCCAUUUAAAGUGGUACGCGAGCUGGGUUUAGAACGUCGUGAGACAGUUCGGUCCCUAUCUGCCGUGGGCGCUGGAGAACUGAGGGGGGCUGCUCCUAGUACGAGAGGACCGGAGUGGACGCAUCACUGGUGUUCGGGUUGUCAUGCCAAUGGCACUGCCCGGUAGCUAAAUGCGGAAGAGAUAAGUGCUGAAAGCAUCUAAGCACGAAACUUGCCCCGAGAUGAGUUCU
rnacentral:rRNA from 1 species